rnacentral:rRNA from 1 species
UGCCUACGGGAGGCAGCAGUGGGGAAUAUUGCACAAUGGGGGAAACCCUGAUGCAGCGACGCCGCGUGAGUGAAGAAGUAAUUCGUUACGUAAAGCUCUAUCAGCAGGGAAGAAAUACUGACCUUACGGUCAGCAGACGGUACCUGAGUAAGAAGCCCCGGCUAACUACGUGCCAGCAGCCGCGGUAAUACGGAGGAUGCGAGCGUUAUCCGGAUUUAUUGGGUUUAAAGGGUGCGUAGGCGGAAUGCCAAGUCAGCGGUAAAAUCGCGGGGCUCAACCUCGCUCCGCCGUUGAAACUGGCGUUU